rnacentral:lncRNA from 1 species
GCCAGGUGUCGGUAAAUAUCCAGAAGGGGCUCUUUAUGUGCCCCACAGGCCCCUGACCUCCCCGGGGUGUGUCCCCGGGGCAGUGACACUUGGGUGUGACCACAAGGAUGAGGAAGAGUCAGUGGGGGAACUGCAGGGGCAGAGGCUGGGAGACGGGGCCGUGUGUCCUGUCUGUGAGGAGCCCUCCAGGCCCACGGGACCUAAGCCCAGAGAAAUGGAAACCAAAGGAACUAAGGCCAGAGAGGGGUCGGGCCUUAACGGGACAUCUCGGCGCUGGUGGCAGGAAUGACUGGGGCAUGGGAAGUUCACGUGCCGUCCGUGCCCAGGCCCCACGGGAUGGAGCCAGCGCCUGGCCGGAGGGCUGUGCACCAGGGGCAGCAGGUGAGUGGGUGAAUGCAUCAGGGCUGAGCCCCAGCCCCGGACUGAACCCCGACCCCGGCGGGGCCCCCGCUGCGGACCAGACCCAACCACACCGAGCCUCUUUCCCCCGGGCCCCAGCCGCCUCCGAGAGCCGUGCUACCCGCCGAGGGCGGCCCUUCCCCCCUCCUGGCCUGGUGCCUACGGCUCCUGACUCAGGGGCCCCCAGGGCCUGUCCUGCCACAUUCCGGGGUGGCCUGUGUAAACACGGGGUGCCUCCUCGGCGGCCCCCAUGGGCAUUGUUCGUCCUAGUUCCCGGGGACCAGGGCGUGGGCAGGGGACAGGGAGCCGGCCGGAUUCCCGCCACCUGCCCACGCACCCACCCACGGGGCGGCCCCACUCACCCCUGCCCCUGGCAGCGAGGGGGCCCUCCUGUCUCUCCCCGGCACGCGAAGGGCGAGCUGCUUCUCCUGGAGUUCUCCAGUUCCCCUGAGCUUCACAGAUGAGGCGGCGCACACAAGCCCAUGGCUCAGCUGGGGAAACUGAGGCUCAGGCCCCAGCCCGAGGCCGGCAAGGCUCACACACCGGGUUCGCCUGCCCCGCCAAGCUGUUCCACGUGCUUCCUGGCGUCUUCCCGAAAUGCGGGGAGGGCAUUCCCUGCCGCCAGCACCGCACCACUCCGAGGAGCUUGGGUCUCACCCGGCGCUUCUGGGAAGAAGCCAGGAGGGCAACAUGGUCUCUCUCGGGGCUCACACGGGGGAGCUGGCCCUCAAAGGCCCAGGCUGCUCGGGGUGACCGGGAAGAAGGCGCUGCUGGGUAAUUCUGGAGCUGGUGUGGGGACUGCGUGCUGCUUCCUGGGUGUGUGCUGAGGGCCACGGGGAGCCCUUGGCGGUUAGCCGCCCCCCUGCCCCCUCCCGGCCACCCUGUCUGGAGCCGGGACCCCACGUGGACUCUCCCCUUACCCGGCUCAGCCCACCCCCCACCUCACAGCCUCCCCAGCCCCCUUGCGGCUCCCCAAACAGCUCGUCCUGGCCGUCUGCUCCUCUCAUCGUGCCCGGCUAGCUCCUCCUCGGCCUUCAGCUCUCAGCCUGGGUGCUGCCUCCGCCAGGAAGCCUCCCAGAGCAAGCCAGGCCCCACUCCUCUUGUAGGAGUUUUUGCAGUUUCCGGUUCCGGUUACUCCUCCAUGGAGUAACCGCUUGAUCCCGUGAUCACCGGAUUAGGGUCCCCCAAGGGCGGGGCGCGAGGCUUUCUUACUCCAUGAGGUAUGGCGCACGAUGGGUGCUCGUGGGUCUGGAGGGUGGCCGUGAAGACAGAGGCAGCGUGGUGUGGGGGGUUCCUGGUUCUUAAGGCCAGGCUUGGGGCCUGGGCGAUGGUGUCCAGGGGAGGGAAGGAGCAGAAGCCACUGGGCCCAGCCUGCCAACAGAUCUGGGUUCAGAUUCUGGCUACACCGUGUUCUGGCUGUAUGCCUGGGGCAGAGGCUGCCCUUCCCAGGCCUUGGUUUCCCCUUCUGAAAAUCAGGGCUCGGGAAGGUCACUUCCAGGCCCUAAUGGCUACUCACACCUCCCUUUCCCUGUGCACACCACACUGAAUCUCGCUUCGGCCCUGGGCAGUGGUGGCCACCAGAACACCUUUUUGCAGGUGGGGAAACCGAGGCACAGAGGGAUGCGCUCAUUUGGCCGAAGCCACAUGAAGGGUUCAGUGCCCGGGACUGCCCGAGGGAGGGUCCCAGGUGGGUGUCUACUCCUGUUCUACGGGAGGGGCAGGCCAGUGGAGUCACCAGGGUGCUGGCUUUGUAGCUGGCACCGUGCCCUAGUUUGUUAGGCCCAGCAUCUCCUGUACCCAAAGAGUGGGGGGCUGUGAUUGGCCCCAUCGUGCAGAACAGGACACUGAGGCCCCCCCAAAGCUGAAUUAAACCACACGUGCUCCCUCCUGGCUGGGGCUUGACAUUGGCCUGACUGCAUGUUUGCCAAGAAAAUGUAAAAGGUUGCACAAAUAGGUCCCAAGAGGCCCAGGGAGGGAGGCAGGCCCUGGUUCUUCGUCUUGGAGGUGAUGACCACCCCUCUGUGGGUUCCCAGGCAUCUGGGCCCAGGCCUGGCCCCUACUUGCCCCUGUGUAGACAGGAGUUUUCAAAUGGCCAGCAGGGAGUGUGUGAGGCGGGAUCUGUGGGCGACAGGUGCUUGGAGUCACCCGAACUCUCUGUACUCCUAGGAUUGGAAGAGUCUCCAAACUGGCAGGCCUCGUGUACCCCUCCCACCUCCUUGCCCUCUUGAGGGGUGGGAAAGGUACAGAGCCAAGAUCUAUAAAAAGAAAAAUCUUCAAAUCUGGCUCUAUAAAGACUACAUGCUUCUGAAUCAAACAGACACGCAGCUGAGGUUAGAUGAGGUGAGACAGCUGGGGAGAAAAACAUUUGUAACACUGUAACAGAGGGAUUCAUAGCCUUCCUAUACAAAGAGUUCCUACAAAUCAAUAAAAAAAACCCCCACAAAACA